UCCUCGAUCAGGUUCCGGAGACCGGUGGU
rnacentral:sRNA from 1 species